rnacentral:rRNA from 1 species
UACGGAGGGUGCUAGCGUUGUUCGGAAUUACUGGGCGUAAAGCGCACGUAGGCGGCUUUGUAAGUUAGAGGUGAAGGCCCGGGGCUCAACCCCGGAACUGCCUUUAAGACUGCAUCGCUUGAAUCCAGGAGAGGUGAGUGGAAUUCCGAGUGUAGAGGUGAAAUUCGUAGAUAUUCGGAAGAACACCAGUGGCGAAGGCGGCUCACUGGACUGGUAUUGACGCUGAUGUGCGAAAGCGUGGGGAGCAAACAGG